AAGAAAGAGUGAGAGAAAGUUGUGGUGAAAGUGUACAGCAGGGUUCGACACCACCUCCUGCCGGAGCCGCUUGGAGCCUUAGGUGUUUUUGCUCAAUAAACACUCACAACGCCCGGUCUGUGAGUCGAAACCACGACCCUACAACCACGAGUC